rnacentral:lncRNA from 1 species
UUCUUCAUUAAGUGGCAAAAGACUCUUAUGUUCUUAUUCUAUAUAUGUAUAAUAAACAAAUAUUUAAAUAAAUAAAAAUCUAAAAAAUAAAAAAUAAUUUUUUUCAUUUUUUUCGAAUUAUACUAAAUUCAAACUCUAAACCCUAAAACUCAACAAACAAUCUUAAACCCUUUUUUUUUUGAAAUACGAACCUUAAACCAUCAAUCCUAAACCCAUUUUUUUUUAAAUACGAACUCUAAACCCUGAAACAUCAACUCUAAACCCUAAACCCCGAAACAUCAAUUCUAAACCCUAAACCCUAACUCUUCAACUCUAAACCCUAACUUUUCAACUCUAAACCCUAAAACAUCAACUCUAAACCCUAAACCCUAAACCCUAAACUUCAACUCUAUACCAUCAACACUAAACCCUAAACUAUCAACACUAAACCCUAAACCCUAAAAGGUAAACUCUAAACCCUAAACCCUAAAAAAUUAACCGUAAACCCUAAAACAUCAACUCUAAACCCCAAACCCUAAACCUUCAACUCUAAGCCCCAAACUCUAAACGCUAAAUCCUAAACCAUAAACCCUAAACCCUAAAACCCUAGAGUUGAUGUUUUAGGGUUUAGAUUUGAAGGUUUAGGGUUUUAGGGUUUAGGGUUUACGUUUAGGGUUUAGAGUUGAUUUCUUAGGGUUUAGAUUUGAAAGUUUAGGGUUUUAGGGUUUAGGGUUUGAAUUUAAGAAAAUAUAGGGUUUAGGGUUUGGGGUUUACGUUUAGGGUUUAGAGUUGAUGUUUUAGGGUUUAGAUUUGAAGGUUUAAGGUUUAGAGUUGAUGUUUCGGGGUUUAGAAUUGAUGGUUCAUGGUUUAGGGUUUAGAGUUGAUGAUUUAGGGUUUAAAAUUGAUGUUUUAAGUUUAGAUUUAGGGUUUAGGGUUUACAUUUCGGGUUUAGAAUUGAUGUUUUAGGGUUUAGAUUUGAAGGUUUAGGGUUUAGGGUUUAGAGUUGAUGUUUCAGGGUUUACGGUUUAGAGUUGAUGUUUCAUGGUUUUGAGUUAAUGAUUUAAGGUUUAGAGUUGAUGUUUUAAGUUUAAAUUAGUUAAUAAUAAGUUUUUUUUGGUCAAAUUUAAUCAAAGGGUUAUAAAUGUAUUUUACCCUGAUGAGGAUAAAAGUGGUUAGCGUAAACAUGAAAAAUAUAAUUUUAAAAAUGGUAUUUUUGGCAAUUUAAAGUUUGGAGAUCAAAAUAUUGUCUACGACCUUCUUCAGUCAUACGCAAGAAACUGGCAAUAAAGUUCCUUCACCCAGGUGGUCUACAAGCCAUGUCUUACUUACUACAUCACCAAACUAAAACCUCAAGCUGUGCGUUGCUGCCUCUAUUUCUCUGCUUCUUACAAUGACUCUGCUAUCCCUUGCAAUACUUGCGCUUGUGUGUGCGGCGACAUAGAUUACUGAUACUUGUAACCUGAACUCCCAGUCGCUUCUCCUAAUACCUUGGCAAUACCCAACGUCGUUGUCUAUCCAAGCGUAAAGAAGAGCUAGAAAGAAUGUCCCAAAGCUUAGACAAAUUCCCUUUAUUUUCGUAGAAUGCCAAUUUCCUGUCCGUGCGGUUUACAUCAAGACCUGAGAACCAGAGUUUACUAAAGUAUAUUGAAAUGAUAAUAUUCUUAGAACUAGUUAGUUAGUGACACCAGAGUUUUAUGAAGUUAUACUAUUUCCCCCAAGCAAAAGAAAAAAAAGAUACACAAACAUUUUUACCUAAAUUUUGUUUCUUGUAGUACAAGAGGAUCUAUCUAGAAUGGGUUGGCCCUUCUCAUUAAUCACAGGUGCUUUAAAUAGAAACAUGUAGACAAAGAGAAUGCAGGACCAAUAUGAUCACUGACCUUGUACGUUGUCGGAUUUGCUCUCUUUCUUCAAAAGUGCUCUUUGGAUCAUAACGCCCAAGUGAGAACUCCCACACUUCUCCUCUAAUCGAUGGAUGGAUCCCCUAUAAACCAAUCAAGAAAGCAAGCAAAUGGAUUUAGUUAAUGUUGCAGUACUUUGCAGACGAGUGUUCUAAGACUUACCCCUCGUAGGAUUCAUUCGACUUAAGAGUCUUCUUGCCAAUAUCUAGGAAUCCUUCCUGUGUAAAGAGGCAGCCUGCCAUUUUCAGAGUUUUACCAGGCUGCAAGCAACAUAACCCUAAGGAAAAAGACAGGUACUUGUCAGCAAACAUAGUAGACUCUCUCUGCCAUUCUCUUUAACAUAAUCAAUAAAUAUUGUGAUGCCACUACUAAAUAUGUUGUUAAUAAAGUAAGACAAAGAUCAGCAAUAUAGAAUUUAAGCACAUAACUAGUAAAUGCUAUCUUAUCUUGUUUGAUCAGAUCAAGAUUAAUAAUAUAACACAUAAUUCACCUCCCAAAUGUAACUAAAACUACAAAUCCAGUGAUGAAUCUGCUUUUUCUCUAAACACAAGCAUGAGGAGAAUACCAACUUAAUUAAAAAGAACAGUAAGAUCAACAAUCACUAUCAUUAUAAUCACUAUCCAUCAGAAUAGGCAUAAACAUGGCAUUUGCAUUCAUAACUAAUGAUGUUGUUCUCUUCAAUCUGAUCUUGAAACUGCAAUGGUCAAUCUCAUUGAUGACAGAGAAACGGUUCCAAGUAGUAAGGGAAAGGAGUUCUUGAAUCUGGUAUUGGGGACAUGGGUGCACUCAGGACGAAUCUGCUGGUUCUGCGACGGCUUCCCACAUUUAUAAAAGUUUUUCAAUCCAAAUAAAAAUGAAAACUUUCCCCGGGAAUAACAGAGAAACAAACGAUUACAAAACUUGUCUACACCGAACCAGGAAGGAAACAAGACAUUUUCUUUUUGGGGGUACUACCUAAUCAUUUGUUUCCUCCUUUUCAUUGUUUGGUGUUUGGAGAAGCAAUUAUUUGUUGACGGUUUACUUGUUUUUGAAGAUUAUAUUACGGGUGUAGAUUUAAGUCGGCUUCGUUUGACGUAUUCAAAAGAUGAUGAUUUUGACACAAGAUCAUGACUCGUCGGUUAAGAAAAAGGGCAAGACUUUUUAAGGUUUUUCUACUCAUCUUCCCAAUAGAUAUUUAUGUUCUUUUGGUUAUGAACAAACCAAUUAUAUAGUAAUGUAAAAAAAAAAAAAAAAAAAAUUAUAUAGUAGUGUACUCUAUUGAAGAGUAAAAAUUGAGAUACACUACCAAACAUAUAAAUCAAAAACACUAAACUGCCUACCAUACAAAAGAGAUAUUAAACAUCGUUAAAUAACUUACAAUCACGAUUGUGAAUCAUCGACAUUUUUCCAAAAGUAUACGUAACUUACAAAAACUGCGAAACAAAUCAAGAUUAUUAAACAGACAAAGACGCCUAUAACCGCCACGAGUCCCAAGCUCUGCAUCCUGCCUUUUGAAGUUUAUGAACUACUCUUCUUGUAUAUAUAUAUAUACUGAAAAUAUUAUGAGAAUGUAGAUUCAACCGAAACGAUGAUGUUUUCUAUUACUAUUUAACUUCGAAUUAUGGAAAGCUUAGAUACUAUAGAAUAUGGAAAAUCUCCUAACUAUUUUGUUUAUUUUUUCUCGGCAAAAAUGGUAAUAUAUACUUUUAUAGAUCAUAUCUAAGGAUAUUUUCCCUUUCACAGAUAUAUAAAAUAUUUAAUAGUUCUUAAACAUGUAUGUAUAUUCGAUGGAACUCUUAAGCAUGCAAUGUUAAAAUUAAAUGCUUUUCUUGGAGAAUCGUAUAAAUCAUAUCAUUAAAAGCUACGUUUUCCUUCUUCUUUUUUACAACAAAUAGUUAUGUUAUUAUUUAAACUUCGGUUGAUCCGGAAACCAGAAUAGAACGACCAAAUGAAACAAAGCUCCCUAUGAAAAGACAUUUCUAUAAAAAAUCAUGAAAUUAUAUUUUGUACUCUUGGGAUUUAAGUAAUCUUGAAUCUGGAAAACAUAUCUGCAGAGUCUUUAUCGCCUCCAAUUAUGUUGUAAAAUUUGGCCAAGCAUACGGUUCAUUUAUCAUCGCGAUCAGAUCCUUGCAAUCUGUCCCAAAACUAUGGCAUGUCGAAUGUUGUAGGAUACUCUCCAUUGUAUAUCGUAGUGCUUCCACUUCUGUAUGCAAAUCAGACUCUCGCCGUCUAAAGUUUCGCGUCCGCAUAAAUUAAAUCUUCUCUAAGCUGUCCAAUCAAACCCAACCGCAACUGCUGAACUGGUUAUGUUUUCCUUUAUAAUGUCCCUAGACAUAAACAUUAUAGUCGAUAAUAAAAAAAACUAAUCACAACCCAUCCUUCUUUUUUUUUAAUCGAAAUGGAACCGGGGGACAUGAACCUUACUUAAUUGCAGAGAUAACAUAUUUAUUUACAUGUUUCCCACAUCUCUAUUUUUUUAAUAUUAAUUAUAAUCAACCCGAAACCAGAAAUUAGGAUUCAAUUGCAAACCGACUUGAACAAAAUAACUCAAAUCAAACGGUUUCUAACUAGCUUCGGUCGACCUAUGUUCCCGGCGAGUUCCGCUAGCCAUCUCCAAAAUCCUCGAGAAUAAAUGACCGUUCUCAAUCGUUAAUGUUGACCACGAGAAGUAUAUAUUCACCCCGUUGCCUCGAAUGCCGAGAUCUUCCUGUGACGCUUCUGGAGUAGCUAGCCACCGAUGAUCCUUUCGUCUUGCAAUCUUCACCUUCAUUAAAUAACUCGACAACUGAAAGAGUAACAGUACCGAGACACAUCACCUGAGUGAGCCCUCACGAACUCUCGGUACUGUUACUCUUCUAGUCAGAAAUUGGUAUCAUUCUCAAGCCCCCUCCAACGCCGACCAUAGAACCAAAUGUGGGCUUGAAAACGAUACCAAUUUCUGACUAGAAGAGUCUCUAAACCUGAACAUGAUAGUCAUCACACUAUCAAUGAUAACCAAGCCGAACCCAUCAGCACUGGGAUGUGUGAGAGGACCAAAUGGGAACACAAUGCAAUCAAAAGCAAUGCUCCCAACAGCCAUCACUUGAAGCAAGUCGAGAACCGAGAAGCGGUUUCUGUGACUAGUUAAACCUCUCUCCAACGUAGGAGAACGAGGUAGAAGCUGAAAACCGAGACCACCACAGGAAAGAUGACUGCCGUCAAAUACCGGUGGACUAUAGAGAGACGAAACAGAGGAGAUAUGCAGCGAUGAGUGUCCACAGAACAACAAUCGGAAGGCCAUAGACUACCACCACCAAGCUGCUCAUUUUCCCACACGUCAGAACAGAGCCGAGUUACCAUCACCGCCUGCAUAACCAGGCUCACAAGGCACCUCCGAGUCAGAGUAAACCUCCGGAGCUUUCUCGACCUCGAAGACUAGACACCAAAACCUUCAAGACACCGAGGAGAGUCACGAUUUCCACCUCCAAAGCUGGACAACUCCACCACCAAAGACUGAGAAGAGGAAUGAACCAUCCCUCCACCGCAUUGGGAUCGAAACCAAAAGCAGAUCUGAAAUGGUAAAAGGCGAUCUACUUCAAAACCCUAAACGUGACCACCUACUCCGGGAACCUCAGCCACAAACUUGCCGUGAGACCAGAAAAAGAAGCAUAUUCUCUGGCUGAACUCCUCUCGAGCGGAGCUUUGCCAGAAAGCCAAAACCUUUCCCAGUGCCAGAAGCAUAUCGAAAGGGAGAGUGAAAAUGGAGGAGGAGCAAAAGGAAAAGGAGAGAGGAUGAGGAGGAAGCCUCCGGCAACGGCGGUGGCGCUAACACGCUGGCCAACCGCCGGAGCAAAGCGAGACCACACGCUGGUUAAGAGAAAGAGAGUAAGGAGAGAGAAGGGGGUUAAAGAGAGUUCGAUUUUAAAAUUUUGGACUAUUUUUCUCGAUUUGUGUGUGGUCAUCCUUCUUCUAUGUAUCUUUCCAAUUUUAUUGGAUGUCUCUGAAGGGACAAUCGCAGUCCAUCCUUAUUUAUGUUUAUCGUUUAUUUUAAUUAUUAAUAUCAUGUUUUAAAAAAAAUAGUAGAUGAUUUCAGAAUAGUAUUAACUUUAAAAUUAUAUUUAUAUAUGAACUAAAACAUAUGUAUAGGAAUUACUAAUCAUUUAUACAAAAGUAUGAACUAACUCAUUGAUAAUAAGUAACUAAAUACCAAUAUUUAAAUAAACCAUUUUGUUUAAAAUUUAUAAUAUUUACUCAAUUCUGUUAAGUUAAUGACAAAAAAAUAUUAACCUGAUAGAAAAUUAAUAUUAAUUAAUUGUAUAUACAAGACUAUGAAAAAAUUGAACACUAAUUAAGAACAAAAUAACCUUGUAUCAACGAGAAUAAUUGUAUUUAAAACAUACCAUACUAAUUAUUUUGAUGUGCUUAUAAGACUUGAGUGUGAAAUAUUUUUAAUUAUUGAAGUAAAUAUCAUUUAACUUAUCGUGAAAAUAUCAUUAAAGUUAUACAAAAUCUCUUUAUUUUUGUUAUACUUCUAGACUGUAUAGUAACACUUAUAACUACGAGAAAACAGCACUGCCGAUGUAACAAAGGCAACAUCAGCAUUGUGAUAUGUUGAAGUCAACAAGCAGAGCCAUCGAGGAAGGAACAUGAAGUCGGAGACCACCCAAGUUAAACACCGUCAAACUGUCACAUCAAUGAAAAAGAUAUAAUCACCACAUGGAAACACAUGAGUUAACGCCAAAGAAACUAUUAUGGCAGCUUCAGAGGCGGACUAAAAAAACGCCGGAUAAAGACACUGCAGAUGAGAGAGAGAUCUCUGGAACCGCAACGACGUGGCCAUAGACUACCAAAUCGAGAUGUAGACCAUUGAAUCUGCACAAGCCGACACUAGAAGCUCUAGCACGCACCAGAAAAGCCGCUAGGAGAGACACGUCUCCGAGAAUAGGGUAAUCUAGAGCUCACAUGAUGCCGAGACAAAGGAUAUGGCCAACCAAGAUGCCGAGGAAAGCCACCAAAUUGAAACCUGACACCACACCUUCAAACCAGACCACGACGGGAAGAUUUAGAAGAUUGAAGCCUGGAUCUGAAGGAGGAGCCGCCUCAACCACCACACGCGCCACUGUCUCGUGAAAGUGAGUCCGAAAAGAGAAAAAUUGAACCCCUCAAAACCCAGAAAAGCUGACCCCUCUGAUCCGCGCCACUUUUCCAACCUCAUAGUCACACCAGAGAGCCAAACAACCACCAAGUCCGGCUGUGAAUCUGUCAUCAAGGGAGCUCUUUCUCGAGAGUAACACACAUAUCAUAGGGAGAGGAGAGAGUAGACAAAGUAGCAAAGGGGAGGAGAAAGCCAUCUGGCGGCGGCGAAAUGGCAGCCACGUACCGGAGGCAAGCUCGGGGUUCAACAAGAGAAAAAUAUUGAGAGAACCGCGUAGACAGAGAAAGCCUCAGAAGUUAUUAAUUUUAAGCUUUUACUAGAUUUUGACCCAUAAUGAUCCAAUAUAGAUUUGUUAUUAAUAUUACUUAAUUGCCCUUAAUGAAACAUGCAAUGUUAGUGAAGGAAACAUGUCCCUAAGGUAAUUAUGACAAUAGGAUCCUGCUUUAAUAGUAUAGAUUCCAACUCUAAGGGCAUCAGCAUUAGUGAAAUUUAGGAGGGGUUCACCGAUUUAAUUUUUUAUUAUUAUUUUUUUUUUCGUUUGAUUUCUUUAGAAAAAAAAAAGUAAAAAGCCCAACCAAUCGCGGACUGCCACGCGUCUGGGACCCACCAAUUAGUUGUGAACCAGUCUCUUACACGUGAAUCUGCAAGACUCUGAGUUCACCUUUUUUGUUUUGGGAAGCGUGUGAACCUGGGUUUAAAACCCUUAAUGUGGAUGACCUAAUAUAUUAUUAAGUAAAAAUGGUAUAACAAAUAAAAAUAAUAUAUUAUUAUUUUAGAAUAAACAUAUUUUUUAUUUCAUUAUAAAGUGGAAAAUGAGUGGAGUUGAUAGUACCCUUAUGUUUUGAAUGGCGAGCAUAUAAAAUGGUCUAUUAGUGUGAAGCGGGCGAAAUCAUCUUUUUCCUCCAUUCAACAAUUAAUUUUACUGUAGAACUUACUGUAUUUUAACAAAACAGUAAAAUAUUACAGAACCACUUGUGAUUCAAUCACAUGAACAAAAGUAUGAGACCUACUAUGCACAGUAAUAUACAUCAAAGUUGGAGUGUAUCUUAUGAUUUUUAAUGUUUUGUUUUUAAUUGGAUUUUUUAGAAAAAAAAUAUACUUAUAAUUUUAAAUAGUUUUGCUAUUAUGAUUGACUAAAUGUAUUUUUUGUAUUUAUACUAUUUUCAUAUAUAUAUAUUAUUGUAUAUAUUUUAGUUAUUUUUUAUUUUGUUAUAUUGUAUUUAAAAUUAUUAGAUAUAUAAUAUUCUAAAUAUAAGAAUAAUAAUAUUUAUUUCAUUAUAAGAUGACAAUCUAAAGUACAUAGUUAUAUAGUCAACAUAUUAGCUACAUAAUUUAUAUGAAAAUUAAACGUUAAAUAAUAUUUAUUUAUUAUAUUAAAUAUGUAGUAUGUACAUCACUUUUAAAAUUAUAUUUUUAAAAUAAUAAAAUAAUUAUAUAUGUACAAUAUUUUAUUAUUUGAAUUAAAAUUUAUUUUGUGUAUUCACAUAAAACACUUUCAACAUGUUGAAAAAAUUCAACAAGAAAUAAUCCAUCUCAAUUUUUUUAGGUUUUCAACAGGUCUAUUGCAAAUAUUCAAUAGUUCAAAGUAAAAUUCAACACCCGUUGUAUAUACUCAAAAUGACAAGCGUACAUGGCCCCAGCUCCCUUGAUAAUAGGGGUUGGGUUGCCAUGGAUGUGUGGUUGCUGUAAAAAUCAUGCAACAAUGCAUCCAUUAUUACCACCAUUGUGUAUGCAAGUGGUUAAACAUAGUGAUUGAGACUAUUAUGCUCUUAGUUUGAGCAUUUGUAAAAAAAAAAAGCUCUACGCUGUGUUUAUGGUAUUGGUAAAGAUUGAUUCUGAGUCUAGAAGUGAUUAACGUUUAAGGUAUAACUCCUCAUGAUCUAUCAAGAAAAAUAAUGCAACCAAUAUUUUUAUUAAAAUCAUUACUCACCACUAUAUUCAGAAAACAUAUCUACAAUAUUAGAAUACAUAUUUAACGAUUUAUAAGAUGAUAUUUUGUUCGUUGGAAAAAAACUUGUCUGGUUCUACUCCUUUUAGUUUAAUUUAUUUUAUUGUUUUUCAUCAAAUUUUAUAAGAGUUUUUUAACAAACAAAAAAAACGUUUAGCAAAGCGAUAGUUACAUUGAGUGAUAUCAAUGUAAAAAUAAAAACUCAAAAGAUGCAUAUGAACACAAUAACUUACUUAUUAUUAUUUUUUUGAAUGAAUUUUAAAUUUAUUCAGAUCAAAAGACCUUUUAACAUGUCUCUAUUUUGAAAGUCUGCAAAAGAAAAAAAAAUAAUACUGAAAAAAACUUAAAAAGCAGACUUGAUAGUUCCUUGUUCAGUUCCUUGUUCCAAACCAGACUGUCAUCGCAAUAACUCUACAAAGCCGAGCCGCAGCUUGGGGAUGCUCGCCGUCGUGUCUCCUAUUUAUUUCACGCCAAACAGAAUGUACCGUGGCUUGGAAGACAUAUCUCAGAAAAACAUUCUCGAUUUCUCUCGCUUUGUUGACUUCAAAACUCCAAUUAUUUGAUUUCAGUGGUUCGUAUAACUUACUUAUUAUUCCUAUAUAUAGGAAAGAUUCUAACACCCUAAGACAAUUUGGUUACAAAAAUAAUUAAAAAUCUCACUUUUAUUAUUUCUAUUCAAUAUAUAGUAGGAGUUUCAUGUGCCAUAUGCAAGAUAAUAAAUUUAAUACAUUAUUUUAAAAGUAAAAAUACAAAUUUUAAUAUUUAGAAAAACUUUUUAACAUUAUAGUAUAAAUAUAAAUAAUUUUCAUAAAUUAUACUUCUUUGUCUUAUCAAUUUUCCUUUUUAUUUUUAAUUUAAAUUUAAACGAUAAAAAUAUGUUUUGUUUAUUAUAUAUAUUUAAAUGUAUACAUUUCAGUUUUUAAUCUUGUUAAAUUAGAUUAAAAUAAUAAAUUAGUUUAUAAAAUAAUUUAUAAAUUAACUUAAUAAAAUAUUGAUUAUAUUUAAAUUUAAGUUAUACAAAUUAAUUUAUUAAUUAACUCAAUAAGUCGACUAAAAAUUGUUCAACAAACAUAUUUUAUGGUGAUCAUAUACAAAUAAAUUUACUAAAUUGAUUAGUUUGAAUUAAAUCAUAAUUCAAACAUUUCAUUAAAAUUUAUUCACAUGUAAUUUUAAAAAUUUUAAGUUCUAAGUUAAUGCAAAACAUUUUUUUUAUAAUUAUGUUACUAGUUUAAAAUGUUUAUUAAUGGUGAUACAUAUAAGUUAUUGUUAUAUUAAAAGUAUCUUACGAAAAAUUUCAAAACUUCAUAAAAUUUUUGACAUUUACAAUAAGAAUUUAGACAUGUCAUCAUUUUAACUAAGACAUGUAAUCCUUUUCUAAUGAAAAUGAAUAUGGUGAUGACAUAUAAGCAAAAUUUUAAAAUUAUUUUCAAAUAAUGUGUUGACUCAACAUGUAGGGAAUUAUUUUGGUGGAGAUAUAUAAAAUUUCCAUCUUUGUUUCUGUUUAUCCAAAAGAUAAAUUAUAUCUAUUAUUAUAAAAAUAUGUAUUCUGAUAAUAAUAGGAAUGCCCAUUAAACUCACGUGCAAAAUGUAAUUUGUUACGCACGUACGUAUUAUAUCUAUACUAUACUAAAAGGGGGAUAUGAGCUCCAUUGAGCCUAUCCACCUCAGCAAAUUAAAUCAGCCACUUAGAAUAUGAGUUUGUGCCAUGUCAACUCUCAAUAACUAUAAUUACAAGCCACAUUAUCUCAUCAGUUCACGUUCUUAGUUCCUUCAGUUUCCUCCUCCCAACGUAAGCAUUUAUCGCACACACAAAACUGGUUCGGUUUCUUCUCAUAUUUUGUAUUUAUAGGAGUCAUAGUCCUGUCUAACCCUAAUCCCAUGAGAAGCCUUCCUCUCCCCCGAGACAGCCAAGCCUACUCAACGUGAAAGAACAAAAUCAUUGUAGUAGCCAUUAUCUCCCCGGUCCUGAUAAUAUCCUUGAUAUAGGUCUGAAAUUCUUGACACAUCUUUUUAAUGUUUGCGUCCGUAUACCUUAUGAUAUUUUCUGGCCAUGUUUUACAGAUACGUUUGUACGGAAGCAAUUGGAAACUUCAGGGCAAUACCUCGAACCCGGUCAGAAUCUUUGUAUUUGAUGGCUUACUGAUUCUCAGAAUCUUUACAAUAUUUUCUAUAUGUUUAAUGUUUGUAUGUAAGGUUACCUAAAAGCUUCAAUUUCUUUAUCCAUCUUCUAAUAUCUAGAUUUAAAAUAUGAUUUUUUGGUUUGUUUCUAUAGUAACAAGUGUAUGGUCCAAGGUAGUUUCCAUAGCAGAAGGGUUGUAUGCUAGAUUCUCUGCUGCAGCAGUUUUUUUAGGUCCUUACAAGGCUGGUUCUUUUUUCUUUGUUGACACCUGCAAUAAGAAUCUUGACACGUUCGGUGACAAUCACUACUACGCACAUGUUUGUGUCGAUCUUUCAGUUGGUUUUAGUAGAUUUGUUUUUGUGCAAUGUUGCUAAUAUUGUUUUCUUAUGUCUAACAGAUGGUGGAUACGAUGCACAGUUUGAUCAAAGUCCAGGGAGAUUGUUGUUAAGGAAACAAAUGAAGCUAAAAUGCUAAGAGCAGAGAAUAGUUGUGGCCAGAACCAGCCUUGAUCAAGGUGUUAACGCGGAAUUCUCAAGACUAAAUUGGAAUCAAGUAGAAUUUGUUUUGUAGAUAUGAAAUCACUCAGUUGUUGUAUUUGAUUUUAUUAUAGGUAAGAGUAAUAUCCCUUUGAGAAUUGGCUAGAUUGAUCAAGGAAAAACGUUUUUCAAGCCAGGGUUAGGAAAAACAUCCCUUUAGGUUGCACAAUAUAAAUGUAGUAUCAAUGACGGAAAGGUGCUACAUGAUGUUUUUCUUUCAAAAAGACACACCUCUAUUCGUACGGCAGCAACACGCUUUAGUUUCAGGAAAGUGUUGGUUAUUAUUUUCUUUUUUUUUAUUUCCUUAAGGUUUUUUUGCUAACGAUUUGGUAAUAAGUUUGGUUUGUUCCUUAUGUUGAAAGAAACUUCAGGGCAAUACCUCGAACCCGGUCAGAAUCUUUGUAUUCGAUGGCUUACUGAUUCUCAGAAUCUUUACAAUAUUUUCUAUAUGUUUAAUGUUUUUAUGUAAGGUUACCUAAAAGCUUCAAUUUCUUUAUCCAUCUUCUAAUAUCUAGAUUUAAAAUAUGAUUUUUUGGUUUGUUUCUAUAGUAACAAGUGUAUGGUCCAAGGUAGUUUCCAUAGCAGAAGGGUUGUAUGCUAGAUUCUCUGCUGCAGCAGUUUUUUUAGGUCCUUACAAGGCUGGUUCUUUUUUCUUUGUUGACAUCUGCAAUAAGAAUCUUGACACGUUCGGUGACAAUCACUACUACGCACAGGUUUGUGUCGAUCUUUCAGUUGGUUUUAGUAGAUUUGUUUUUGUGCAAUGUUGCUAAUAUUGUUUUCUUAUGUCUAACAGAAGGUGGAUACGAUGCACAGUUUGAUCAAAGUCCAUGGAGAUUGUUGUUAAGGAAACAAAUGAAGCUAAAAUGCUAAGAGCAGAGAAUAGUUGUGGCCAGAACCAGCCUUGAUCAAGGUGUUAACGCGGAAUUCUCAAGACUAAAUUGGAAUCAAGUAGAAUUUGUUUUGUAGAUAUGAAAUCACUCAGUUGUUGUAUUUGAUUUUAUUAUAGGUAAGAGUAAUAUCCCUUUGAGAAUUGGCUAGAUUGAUCAAGGAAAAACGUUUUUCAAGCCAGGGUUAGGAAAAACAUCCCUUUAGGUUGCACAAUAUAAAUGUAGUAUCAAUGACGGAAAGGUGCUACAUGAUGUUUUUCUUUCAAAAAGACACACCUCUAUUCGUACGGCAGCAACACGCUUUAGUUUCAGGAAAGUGUUGGUUAUUAUUCUCUUUUUUAUUUCCUUAAGGUUUUUUUGCUAACGAUUUGGUAAUAAGUUUAGUUUGUUCCUUAUGUUGAACAAAUGAAGGAAAAGUUGCUGCAGAAGAUUCAAAAACAGAGCAAAAACCAUAAAGGCCAAGUACAUGGAUGAUCUUUUUGGGGUGUGUACAGUACAUAAGUAGUAUGUAGUUGGAGACACGAUUUGGUUUAAAAUAUGACGUUGAAUGUUGUGGUUGAGUUGAAGAAGUUAACUUUUGUGUUACAAACUUUCUCUUUAGUUAGAAUCUGCUAUAAUUUUUGGUUACAAUUUGCAAGAAAAAGUUAUGCCUUGUGGGAGUUGUGGUUUACAUUCUCCUAAAUUGUAACAGAUCUUCAGACAGAAUAAGUCGUUUGUUUCAUCUGAGAUUUGACUUUUUGUUAGAAAUUAUAUUGGUUCUUCGACAACAAUCAAGGCCUUGGAUUCUCAAGCUUAUCUCUCUUUUAGUGUCUCAUUGUUUGCAAAAAAAAAAAACAAAGGCAAAUAUGUUUGUGAUCUUCUAAAAACAUAGUCUUUCUUUUUUUUUAAAACAAAAUCUUUACAUUGUGAAUGUGAGUUCCUUAGCCUGUGGAAAAUUUUGAAUUUCAGGUGGAAGGUGAGGAUGCUCAAAUUAUAAAGAGAACAAAAAAUGUGAUUUUAGGAGCUCCUAUAUGGGGGAUGUGCUCUGUUACUCUUUUCUCCUUAUUUCCUUUUUUUCCUUAGUAUUUGAGCUCAAAGAAGAUCUUUUAGUACUAAACCAUUACCUCAUAUCUUAAACUACUCAUCUUGCUUUCAGUAUGCAACAUGGUAAACAGUUUUCUUUAAUCACAAUAAAAUAUAAAAAUCUUCAAUGCAUGUAAUCUAAAAAAUAUUUGGGGAUAUACUUGCAGGCGCUGCACACUCAUAGAAUCUGGAACUGCACAUUUAUAUGAUGAGCUAGAGAUAUAGGUAGUUGAAAAAAACGAAGGAAGCAAUGAAACAGCAACAACUGUGCUUCAUCAACAAUUUUAAAGCUGUGAAAAAGCGAUAAAAGCAUCACAAUCACAGAUUCUUCACCUAAGCGGACUUAACAAUAAUAUAUUGUAAAGUUACAGCAAAAAACAAUAAUAUAUUGUAUACUGGAUAUACAAAAAUAUUAAUUCUGUGUUAAUCUAAAAUUAAUAUAAAAAUAUGAAAACACCAGGUGUAAAGAUUAAUGUAUUUAUAUAUUUUGAAUAAAAGUAAGAGAUAAAAAAACAAAAUAAGACGAAGACAAUUAAUAGUAUAUAUUUAUUUUAACAAAGGAAAUAAUAAAACAAUGAAAUUUAGUAAAAUAAAAUAUGGUUAAACUAAAAAAUUAAGAUACACAAAAACAUAUAAAAUUGAAACUUUUUAUUCAAAUUUAAAUAACUAAUAAUAAAUUUAUAAUUUUUGAAUCAUACAUUUUCAAAUUGAAACUUCUUAUAAUUUUUUUCAAAUUUUCUUUUUUGGUCAAAAUUUCUUUUUUCGAUUUUGUUUUCAAAUUAUAAAUUUUUUUGAAACUAUUUUCAUUUUUUAAAAUAUUAAGUAUUUAUUUAUAUAUUUAUUAAAAUCAUAUACCCAUUUUCCAAAACACUAUCCAUCAAAUCUAAACCCUAAUUUUAGAUUAAUUAACCAUAUUAUUAGAAGUGUUUAUUUAUCUUUUUAAAAGUGAUAGAAAUAUGGUUAAGAUAAACAUAAAAAGUUGUAUUUAGAAUGUGGCAGUUUAGGAAAAAUUUCCUAAAAUUUUGAUAUAACUAAGUAGAAAAACACUAAUCAAAUAAUAAAAAAUGAUCUAUUAUACUUUAAAUAAAUUAUUAUUCAUACUAAUAAAAAUCUAAAAUGGAAAAUUAAAACAUGACAAAACAACAAAAAUGACACAUAAAAAAAAAAAGAAGAAGAUAAAAACAUCUUUCAAAGAGAGACCUUCAACAUAAGCCAUAAUAUUUAACAAAAAGUAACCAAUCAAAAUAUUCCAAUCAGCCAUCUUACUUAAAUAUAUCCAGUAAUACUAAUAAAUAAUAAAAUAAAAAUAUAAUUACAUAUAUCAACAUAACCAUAUUCUCAUACGAGACAUUUCCUCGAGACUAAUCAAUCUCAUAUGUAGUGAUUUCAGUGGAAUGAAUUCAUCUCCCAUAUUCUCCUCUUUCUUCUUACAUACUUUAUAAAUGAUUCCUUCCAUUUCACCUGCUCUAUAUCUACAACAAUGUCAAACGGUGUUAAAUUUUUGGUUAAACUCUUGAUUGACUUAUUGAAAAAAAAAUUUGAACUGAUUGACUUUAUGAACUUUGUACGAUGAUAAAUUAGUAAGACCGGUGAUAUUUUUUGGUUAAACUCUUGAUUGAUUUUUUGAAAAAAAAAUUUGAAUUGAUUGACUUUAUGAACUUUGUAUGAUGAUAAAUUAGUAAGAACGGUGAUAAAGAUCGAACUCAUGCAUCACAGCAUCAGCAAUACACAAAUCUUGAAAUAAUCUACACAUAAUUUUCUUAUUAUUGUUUAUCUGUCAUUGGCGUCCCUAACGCUUAAACAUGAGCGAAGGCAACAUCUUUCAUAUCUAGAAACCUGCAAUAUCUACAGUUGAAAGGUUUUUUUUCUUUACCAUUUAUCAUAACAAUAAUAAUAUCCAACAAAAAUUCACAAUAUUAUAUAUAUAUAUAAGUGACAUAAUAGACAAAACUCAAUUAUUAAUUUACGAGACCCCUCAAACAAGAAGAUUUGGGUUGCAUAAAAUUGUUGAAAAAGUUUAAUAUAAACACAAUAAAGAACAAAGUAAAAUUCACCAAUUCAAAAAAUCACAAAAAAUUAUUUUGAGUUAUUAUUUUUUUGUUUUUUUUUCUAUUAAACCUUUUAUGAUUUCGAGAGAAAAGAAAUGUAAAAAAAAUAUCUAAAAAUAUUUUAGUGCACUAAUCCGCGCGUAGCGCAGAGAAAAGAUCUAGUAUAUAUAAAGUAGGCUUGUGCUUUGUCCACAACCUUCCACGUCACCAAAGAGGAUGAGGCAUUUUUGGACCUGUGGCGCUCCUUUUAAAAAAAAAAAAAAAUCGACAGAUUCUGUGACUUUUGUUGGGCUGGGCCAUUCAUUUAUAUUUUUUCUGGUCUGGGCAAUUUGUUUGUAUUUUCAUCCUUGGCCAAUUAAAGUGCAAGUAGGGUUAACAUCACCUUCUCAGCUUCUUAGAAAAAAAAUUGCCGGAUACCAUCGAUAAUCUCAAUGUUACGUUUUCAGUUUUGCAUUACGUUUCCAGUUUUCACACUCUGAAUAUUCAAUCGGUCUCAGCAUCUCCCAUCGUAACCGACGGAAGGUCUGACUAUAAAUCUCCGAUCUCCCAGCUAUGAACAACACAACUUCAACCAAAUUGAGAAGAAUAUACUUGAUAAUUAGAAACUCCGACGAUCGCUGUAUUCCUCCUGCUCUGCGUCUCACCGUCGGGCUAAGACAUAAGCUCACCGGCUCUGUCUUUUUGUGACAAAGAAGCUCACUGGUUCUGUCAUGUAUUAUUUCCUUGACUUCGCUUUGGUUCCUGGGUCUGAGGUUAUACUCGUCUCUUUUCUUUAGUUCCGAGGGUACUUGUGACUGUGUCUUGCUUUUACACUUCUUUCUGAUGUUUGGAAUGAUUGAAGUUGAUAGUUACACUCGUGUUAUGUAUGUAGACCAUAUUUGAAUCUGUAAUGUUUCAAGAUUUCAUUUUUACUAUUUUGAGUUAUGAGAUGACUGGUGAUCUUGCUGAGAUCCGUGAGUGAGUGAUUCACUGACGAUUUGUUUUGAGUUUAUUAUAUUGACUCAACAUGUAACUAACUGAUCGAUUCUACUUCUACUUGCAGUACUCUUCUGUUCUUGCACCAUACUGCGUCAUGAUGUGUUGGGUCAGGUUUGUUCUUUUGACAAAUUUUAUAAACACUAGAAACUCUUGAGUCAGUUUUUGUUUUUGGUUAUUCAAUGUGUCAUUUUGUGAAUGCAGGAAACACUUUUGAAUCUCUUCCUUCGCAACUACCUGCCCUACAACCUUUAUGACAAAGCAGAGAGGUUGAGAUCAAAAGCACCAAGAUUUGAGGCACAUUCUAACCAACAGGUUUAUCUUUUAUUAUUCUUUCAUACACUACAAGAAAAAUGCGUUUUAAUAGCGGACGAAAAACGCUAUCUAACAAUACGAUAGCGGUUUCUGAAGCGCUGUAUCAUCGUCCGUGAUAGUAGGUCAGACACAUUAGAUAGCGGAUUUUUGAAGUGCUACCUUAUUGUUAUAUAUUAUAGCGUUUUUUAGUAUGCAAUUAAAUAUUCUUUAAUAGCAUAUUUUUUUUGCUAUUAUUAACAUUAAAUUUGGUAAUUUUAUAAUUAUUUUUAUUUUAAUUAUUUUAAAAUAAAAACAAAAUUAAAAAUUAAAAUUGAUUUAUACAUUUAAGAUUUCUUUAUUAUUUAAAUUUAUUUACAGUUAAUUGUUUUACAAAAAUAAAAAAAAUCUAAUUAGAUAAAAAAGUACUAAAACCAAACCAAAUAAACCAAAACCCUAAACCAAGCUUAAACCUAAUUCCUAAUUAACUACCAUAUGUCGUCUUCUUCAUCUUGUACGCCGCCGCACACCACCAUGGCACCACCUACGUGGUCUUCUUCAUCUUCCAGUCCUCACCAGCCCCACCACCACCUUCGUCGUUGUCUCUUCUAUGCUCUUCACAUCCGCCUUGAUUCUUCUUCUUCGCUGUGGGAUUUGAGAGUCAAGCUUCAGAGAUGAGGCGUACUCGUCGUUGCAUCCAGCCACCUUCAUAGUCGCUCGCCGUCUUCGUGGUCUUCUUCUCCACGGAGCUUGCUCGCCGUCUUCCUGGUCUUCUUCUCCACGGAGCUUGAGAGGAAGCGUACAGAGUUUCCAUGGCUAUUGAACAGAGGCGUCGAUCCUCCUCUCCAAUAUUUUUCUUCACUUCUUGGACCCAAACUCAAAUAAAAAUCAGAUCUACUUUGUUGUUUCAUUGAAUGAAAUUAAAAAUCGUAGAAGAAGAAGAAGAAGAAGAAGAAGAAGAAGAAGAAGAAAGAAUGAGAACGUAGAAAUAAAAGAAGAGUUAUUCUUGGUUCACCCCCUAGCCUGAACCAACCAAUAGAAAAUUGUCAUUUUAAAUCUAGUAUCUUUUAAUUAAAAAAACCAAAUAACUUGGCAAAUUAUAUUAUUUUUUUCAAAAAAAAAAUUAAAAAUAAUUAAAAAUAAUAUUUAGAAUUUUUACAAUUUUAAAAAUUUAGAUUUGAAAAUUAUAUCUAGUGGAUGUAUGGUUUAUAUAUGUUUGAUGUUAGGAAUUAGGGUAUAAAGUUUAAUUGAGGAAUUAAAGUUUGUAUGUUUGGAAGUUACAUAUAAUAAAUUUCUUUUGGUUUUAACGUGUAUGUUUUAGUAUUAAAAUUUUAGAACUAUCAAAUAUGAAGUUUAGGAUUUUAGAUUUAGAGAUUAUGCAUGAUAUUGGAUUUAAUGUAUAUAGGUUUGGUGUUUAAUUUUAAAAUAUUUAAGUUGAUAAUUUUAUAUUUAAGAUUUGGAGUUUAAGUUCUUAAAUAUUAUAAAGACUAUUAGUGUAUUAGUGUUUAACUUUUGCUUUUUAGAGUAUAGGGUUCAGAAGUUUGUUUAAGGUUUAGGGAUUCAAAAAGUACGCUAUUAUAGCGUUUAUUAUUUUAUGUGCUAUUAAAUGUAUUCUAUCAUAGUGUUUCGAUUGAUGCCGCUCAAUCAUAGCGUUUCCAAAAAUACAAACGCUAUCUAAAACUAACGGAUAUAUCAACCAUAGCAGAAAGCGAAAAAACGCAAUCCUGAUCUGCUAUUAAAACGUAUUUUUCUUGUAGUGAUAGAACUUGGUUAUUGUAGCUUUCUAGAUUAUAGUUUAUAUCGUUUCUCUGAUUUCUGCAAUUAGGCGUACCAGAACACAUUUUAUUUGGCUAGCAAUACACAAUAUCCCAUAAUAAAAGACUACCAACCUCUCUCCGGCUCCCACCUUUAUUGUUAAGAUAUAUGAGCACAAUUCUUGCUUUUUGCAACAGAUAGCUCAUCCGCUCUGAUCUCUCACCAUUGCUAACCUUUUAACAGUCAAUUUUUUUUAAAAAAAUACUGAGUUUAUAUGUAUCUCCCAUUAUGUUCUUAUAUUUACAUUUUGUUUCUUUUCCCUGCCUUACUUGUGCCUUCUUAGACCUCCAUAUCUACAAAUGUAAUAUAGUGUGUAUAUAUAUACACAUCUCACAGAAUAUGUUCUUACAGUUGUUGAUAUUUGUCCAACUCGGUAAAAUCUGGACGAUCCAACUAGAGUAAACUGAUGCAAAAGAGAGCCUCCUCCAGGCGGCUAGAAAAGCACUUGUCGCUACUCUAGGCUUCAGAGUCCAAUGCGUCAAGUGGGCUAUUUUAGUUCGACUCCUCUUGGGUGAAAUCCCAUAGCGAUCCAUCUUCACUCAAAAAGGAAUGAGAAAGCUCUUACGCCAUAUUUGGAACUUACCAAUGUAAGUGUCAAUCUUAGGAAUUCUUGCGUCUGUGACACUUUCUAGAUUAAAGUUAAGUUACUCUUCUCGCUGCUGUAGACCUCCUUUGUUCGUCCUAGCCUUCCUUGACAUUUAACUAGAUUUAUGCAUCAUCAUGUUGAUUCUGAAAUAAGGAUUUCAUACUAAAAAUAUGUUUGAAUUUUGUCAGGCAGUGAGGAUAGGUGACUUAGAGCUCAGUAACGUCCAAGAGAGGUUUGAGACAUUUUCUGUAAACAUGACUCACAACCUCAUAGUCAGGCUCCGACACAAACAGAACAGGACUACGCAACACUAGCAUCUUACGCAACAUUAGCAUCUCUUACUCAAGAAUCUCUCUAACAGAUGUCGCCCAGAAGCUAAGGCUAAACUUUGCACACCCGAUGGCAGAUGCAUAAAGCAUAGUGGCUAAAUCCAUAAGAGACGGAACAAUCAACGCGACCGUCGACCACCUGAAGGGUUGUAUGGUCUCAAAGAAAAUAUGAGACAUCUACUCCACUAACGAGCUACAGAAUGCCUUUAACUCAAGAAUUGCAUUCUGUUUGAACAUGCACAACGAAGCGGUGAGAGCGUUGAGGUUCCCACCAAAUAAUGGAGAAAGAGAGUGAGGAGAAGAGUCGAGAGAGAUGAAACAGCAAGAAGUGGAGCUCACUUAAUAAAUGGCUGAGGAAGAUGAUGACGAUUUCUAGAUUUGAUACAAAUUCUCACGUCUCGUCUCUUUUGCUAUUUCGAAAUUAACUGUCAUUUUUCAUCUUCUUAUGCACAUCAGUUCUUUUACUUUAUGAGUGACAGAACUCAAUAUAUUUGCAAGUGUUCCAAGUUUCAAAAUGUGAUGCUGAUAGUGCAUAUUAGCAUGAGAUGAUUUAGUAUGUCUUGGCGUUUGGUCUGGAUAGGCUUUUAGGUCCGGCUUCGUGAACUCUUUUCAAACCACCACAAAACAAUAUUUGCACACAUGAAAACUUCCAACCUUAAAUGCAACUAUAAACCACUAUGCAUAGUACAUUAUUUGAAGACAAAUUUUGUACCGUAAAGCAACUAAAUCUCUUUUUUUUUGCGUGAAUACCAAGUUAAUAUUAAGAACGCUCCCGUGUUUGAAAACACAACUCAAGAGUCAUUGUGGUUAUUUUCCCAGUCUAAGACCCCCAAAAAAAUCCUUUAACCCAAAUACCAAAAAAAAAUAAUAAUUCAUUUUUGUGAACCCAUUAAGAUAAAGUUAUUACACGGGAAUAUAAUCCCUUCUCAUAAAGUCCACCUUACAAGGUUAUCUUUGAAAUUUCAGAAGCUUUUUAAAUACAGUAAAAACUCUAUAAUUAAUAAUGUUGGAACUAUGACAUUUUAUUAAUUUACAAAAAAAAGAUUUAUUUUUUCAGAUUUUUAUAUUUUAUAGUACAUUUUAUAUAAAAUAAGAAAAUAAUUAAUUUUAUUGUAUAUACAUCAAUUAAGUUUUGAAAUUCGGCUUUCAUAUUUUUUAAGAUUUUUAAUCAAACACGUAUUGCUCGUGCGAAGAUUUUUAAUCCUUAAGUCCAAGUUCUAUGGGUAUUGUUAUCUUUUUAGUUUGCUUGGUUAUAUCAUAUAUGAGUACUUUGAUCCCACUACUGUAGGAAUCUUUUAUGGCUCUAGCUAUUAACAUAUUCCUAAAAUUGUUUAAUUGUUUGAUUUCCAAUACUUGAUUUCAGCAUCAUAAAUUUUUGGAAUAGUAGAUGUAGCUUAUGUUUUGAUUAAACAACAAAUAUUAGGACGUGAGUUUGCAUUAACUUACUUUUACUGACCCAGGUUGGCGAUGUGGAGAAGAUAAUUAUAAAAAGAGAAAGAAAACAAUAAUUGAAUAUUAAUAAAUAAUCAAAACAUUUUUAGUAUUGUUUCGAAAGUAAAAAUAACAAAAUAGAACAAACAAAAAUGAUUAUUUUGUGCAGUCAUAACUUGAGCUUCGUGAAAAUCUUAGUUAAAGAAUAAUAAAAUUAGACAAAAUACUUAAUAAAAUAAAUACGAAAAUCAAUAAAAACUAAAAGAAGAGAAAUGCAUUUAUAAUAUUGCUUAACAUGUUUUAUAAAAUCCAGAUCAAUAAAAAGUGAAUUGCAUGAAAAAAUGUUCAUUUGGUAAGCAAAAUCAAGGUUAAAGAAAUUAAUAAGAAAAAGGUGAAUAACCAUAGUUAAAGAUUACUAUAUAAUCAAAAUAUAUAAUAUAAACAAAUAAAAAAUAAAAAAAUAUAACUCAAAGUAUAGAAAUUUUAAGAAUAAAAGAAAAAUGCAUAAGAACAAAAAAGUAGGAAAUUUAAAUUUUAUAUUGCUUUCAUAUUUCACAAAUAAAAAAUAUAUAUUAAAAUGAACUACACUGACUUUUUUUACUACUAAACAUAAGUUAAAAAUAAUUGAAAAGAAAAUGGUGGAAACCAAAAUAAUAAAUACAAUCAAAACAAAGAUUUUUUAUUAAAUCCGCCAAAACUAAUGGGGCUCAAAGCCGCAGCUUUCGCUUUGACAAGGUGGUGCUCUAACUAAUAGAACUACGAUCUCAUGAAAAUCAAGCGGAAUAGCUUACAUUUUUUAUGAUCUCAUUUUAAUCAUUUCUUUUUUUAUUCAAAUUAAUUUACAGUAAAAAGUUGGCAAAUCAAAAAUGACAAAAUAUAUGCAGAAUUCGGCUUUAGUAGGUUCUUACAAUAAUGAUAUUUUCGUAAGCCGCAUAAAAAUAUUUCACAUUCAUCCGUAACAAUAAAAAAUACGAACCCGGCGCGUAGCGCCGGAAUACCACUAGUUACUAAUAAAGUUAACAACAUAUAUAUUACACGUGAAUGAGAAAAUUUAUAAAAUAGUAUUCUAAGAGAAAGAAAAGUUAUUACAAAGAAAUUUUGAAAAUGAAUAAUUAUGUAUAUAAUUAACCAAGAAAGUUGGUGACCAUAGACAUGGGAACCAAACAAAGCCCUUUUUGCUUCAAAUCUACUGAUAAUCCAACUUGGUUGUGCACUGCACUAUCUCCUUUCACUACCUAUGUAAAAUUACCGCAUGGUAAGAUUGUGAGAUAUAUUUAAACCAAAAAAAAAAAAAAAGGUUGUGAGAUAUAGAAAAUAAUUUGUAUAACAUAUGAUGGAUCAACUCCAACUUUAAAUAUACAAAGUUCAACUGUAGUUGACGUGUUAACACCAACUACAUUAUUUGUGUUUUCACCAACUACGCCACCCCCGUGUCUCGUGUUGUCGUCCAACGAGAUGCUAUAGACCUAUAAAACGAAAACAAUUCACAAUCUGUUAGUAGUUGAUACAUUUUAAUUAUUUCUGGACUAAAUUAAUCAAGGUACAUUUGACUAGUUAAAGCUGAUUAUUAUGUUCUUGUUUUUUUUUUUUUUUUGGAAAACAAGCUGAUUAUUAUGUUCAUCUAUGUCAAAUAGGAACUUUAUUGUUGUAAACCUUUGUAAAGAACACACAGAUUAUAAGAAUGUAUCUUUUCUUAUUAGCUUAAGAAAACUAGCUCAAAAACUUAAGCUCUCACAAUCACAAUAUUCCUCACAAAUCUCAUCUCUCUCUCGACAUCUUUAUAUAUAGAUGUUUACAAUCCUUUUCCUAUAAGUAAUAUCAUAUCUAGAUAUAUCACAAUCUCUUUAUCUUUAUCUCUUUAUAAUCUCAACACAAAUAGGAUUAGGAUUGUCUUUUCUCUCAAUCUUCUUUCAAGCUUAUCCCAACAGUCUCCUCUCUAAGUUUGAAAUGUCCUUCCUUCACUUCAUGAACUCCAAUGAGUUCUCUCAUCUCUCUGAACUUGAUUCUCGCAAGAGCCUUCGUUAGUAUAUCCGCCUUUUGCUCAGUGCCAGGAACAUGUUCAACUUCGAUCAAACCUUUCUCUACACACUCUCUAAUGAAAUAAUACCGUGUGUGGAUAUGUUUGCUUCGACCGUGAAACACCGGGUUUCUAGUGAGAGCAAUAGCUGACUGAUUGUCGAUCUUAAUCACCACUCUUUCACUCGACAUGCUCAUGAUCUCCGCGAGUAAGUCUUGGAGCCAUAUUGCUUGACGUGAUGCUUCAGUCCCCACCAUGAACUCGGCUUCACACGAUGAUAACGCGACCGUCUCCUGUUUCUGUGAGCACCAAGUGAUGGGGCUUUUACCAAGGUAGAAGAUGUGUCCCGUUGUGCUCCUUCCAUCAUAUGGGUCUACAUUGUAACUACUGUCACUGUAGCCCACUAUCUUUUUUGUGUGAGAAGCCGACCGCUCGAACGUUAAACCAUACGAGGCUGUUCCUUUCAAGUAUCUAAGACAUUGCUUCAACGCCACGCCAUGCGACUCCCUAGGGCUUUGCAUAAACCUGCUUAGAACUCCAACACAGUAUGCUAGAUCAGGUCUGGUGUGAAGUAAAUAUCGAAAACAACCUACUGUCUUCCUGAAUAACGUUGCUUCAAUCUCCCUCUCUUGCUCUGACUUUGCCAAUCUAAUGCCAGCAUCCAUCGGUAUCAACACUGGAUUACAAUCCUUCAUACCCGUUUCCUCUAAGAUCUUCAAGGCGUACCGAUGUUGGUUCAGGGUUAUCCCCUUGUCAUGUUGACAUACUUCAAUCCCAAGGUAAUAGGAUAGCUUACCUAAAUCACUCAUCUCAAAUUUUCUCCCCAUCUCUAGUUUGAACUCGUUUACAGCUCUCAUGUUUGUUCCUGUAACGAACAAGUCAUCUACGUAGACUGCAAUGACAAGUAGACUAUUACCUUCAGCUCUCCGAUAGACGGAUGGCUCUUUUAGACAGCGCUCAAAUUUCAACUCAAGUAAGAUCCUGUCGAGCUUAUCAUUCCAAGCUCUAGGCGCUUGCUUUAGACCAUACAACGCCUUCUUUAAUUUAUAUACCUUGCCUUCUUGUCCCUCUAUCUCGAAUCCUUCUGGUUGAUUAACAUGCACUGUCUCUUUCAACUCUCCGUGUAAGAAGGCAGUUUUAACGUCCAAGUGAUGUAUCUCCCAACCGUGGGACGCUGCAAGACUGAUCAGCAACCGUAUUGUUUCGAUUCUUGCAACAGGAGCAAAAACUUCAUCAUAGUCAACCCCAUAUUGUUGAACGUAGCCCUUUGCCACGAGCCGAGCCUUGUACUUGUUAAUGCUUCCGUCGGAGUUCCUCUUGAUCUUGAAGAUCCAUUUCAAACCAAUAGGUUUUACACCUUGCGGUAAGUCUACUAGGGUCCAGCACUCCAGUUUGGUAAUAGAAUGAAUCUCGUCUUCGCAAGCCCGUAUCCAUUCUUUGCUACCUUUUGCUUCAUUAUAAUCAUAGGGCUCGUUGUUUACGCACAUCAACAGUAUUUCUCCAGCUUCCUCCAUGAACAAGACGUAGUCAUCAAGGUACUUCGGCUUCGAGGUCUCGCGUUGUGAUCUUCUUAACUGAGGUUGAUCUUCUUCGCUCUCUACAUUACUUUCUUGAUCACUAGCGGUAAUUGUCUCAUCACCAUUAACAGUUGGCUUCUUUUCUUCUUCAUUGUGUACAUUGUUCUGUUCUGUGAUCCCAUGAUUUCCAAACACUCCGACCGUGACUUCAAAACCUCCAUCACUACUUUCUUCUAUCUUAUCUCGUUUCCAGUUCCAUCCCUUUGUCUCAUCAAAAAUCACAUCUCGGCUUACCACUAUCUUGCUUGUCUGUGGGUCAAGGAGGCGAUAUGCCUUAGAUCCUGGCUCUGUCCCAAGAUGGACAAGCAUCCGAGACCUAUCAUCUAGCUUCUUCAAGAGCUUCGAGUCCACUUUUGCAUACCCUAUGCAUCCGAAAACCCUCAGAUGACUCACAUUUGGUUUUCUCCCACGGUAAAGAUCGUAUGGCGUCUGAUCCUUUAAUGCUCUUGUGGCUAUGCGGUUUAGGAGAUAGGUAGAGUGUCUGAUUGCUUCUCCCCAUAGUCGGUUAGGGACUGACAUAUGCUUCAUGAUGCUCCUGGACAUCUCCAUCAGUGUCCUAUUGCGUCUCUCCACCACUCCGUUCUGUUGAGGAGUGUACGGAGCGGUAAGAUGUCGUUUAAUUCCACACUCAUCACAGAACAGAUUAAACUCUUUUGAAACGAAUUCUCCUCCCCGAUCUGUUCUGAGAGUUUGAAUGUGUUCUCCUGUUUCUUGCUCUACAAGUUUCUUGAAGAUUUUGAAUUUUCCAAAUGCAUCUCCUUUCUCCUUAAGUAGUAUGGUCCACAUGUAUCUCGAGUAGUCAUCGAUGAGGACAAAAACGUAUCUGUUCCCUGCACUUGUGCUUGGAUUAACUGGUCCACAUAGGUCACCGUGAAUCAACUCGAGUUUCUUUGUAGCUCUGUAUGCGGUAGACUGUGGAAAAGAUUGCCGUGCUUGUUUUCCCAAUAAGCACGAUCCACACACUUUCUUCUCAAUGUCAAACUUUGGAAUCCCCAUGACCAGCUCUCGUUGCACCAUAGAUUUCAUGGUCUCCAUGUUUAUGUGACCCAACCUUGAAUGCCACUUAAUUGACUCUGAUGUUGUUGUAGUCAGAAGUGAUAGAUCCUCCUUAAUCCCCAUACGAACUUUAUACAACCUGUUUUUGGAUCUUGCUGCUUUAGCAAUAAGUUUCCCAUGGAGAUCUCGCAUUAUCAAGUACUCUCCUUUCAUUCUCACAUCACAUCCCGCUUCAGUUGCUUGCCCCAGACUGAUUAUAUUGCUCUUGAGAUCGGGAAUGAAGUACACAUCUGUGAUUUUCCUCUGUUCUCCGUUUCUGUCUAUAAAUUCUAUUGAUCCUUUCCCUUUGAUGUCGAUUUUAGAAUCAUCACCGAACCUGACUUUACCGCUCACAGAAUCAUCGACAUGGGAGAAGUAUCUUCGAUCACCACUCAUGUGAUUACUGGCCCCAUUGUCUAGGUACCAGAUGUUGUCAUCUCCAUCUCUUCCAUCGUAGUUGCUUGGAACUAUCUUCUCUUCAUUUAAGUAUACUAACUCAUGCAUCAUCAGUUCAUCUGCCUCUUGAUUCGACGAGUUGUCUACUUCUUGUGUUUCUUGGAGCUUAAGUAACCGAUCCGGACAGUCAUAUGCGACAUGCCCUGUUUUGUCACAACGAAAGCAAGUGAGCCUUGAUGCAUCUCUUGGUCCAUUGAAUCUUCCACGACCACGUCCCCUAUUGAAGAAGCCUCCUCCACGACCUCUGCCUCUAAAAUUGUUGUUGUUGUAGUCACGAGCUUGCUGUUGUUGGGGCUCCAUGUUCGCAUACAUCAACUUACUUUGAUCUUCUUGAUUAUCCUCAUCUUCGGCAACACGCUCCUCAUAGGCUUUCAGACGUCCUAUAAUGUCCUCAAAACUUGUGGUCUUGAGAUCUAGGACUUGCUCUAAGGAAGCUACGAUGUGUAUAUACUUCUUCCGAGGCAAACACUUGAGAAACUUCUUAACCAGCUUGGUUUCUUCGAUUUCCUCUCCUAGUGCCAUUGACUUUGACGAUAACUCUGAUAGUUUGCCAACAAAAUCAUCAAUCGUCUCUGUCUCUUUCAUCUUAAGUCGAUCGAAAUCAGCCAUCAACGUUUGUAAUCUCGCCUCUCUGACACGCUCAGCUCCCACAUGUCUCGUUCGAAUUGCCUCCCAUACUUUCUUUGCAUUGUUUAGGUCUCCAACCUGUAGUAUCAACGCCUCUGGUAUUGACUGAAAGAUAAGUGCCACAGCCAUAUUGUUCUUCUCGUCGUCUGUACCCUCGGUUUCGACAACUUCCCACACCUUGUGAACCUUGAGUAGAAUUUUCAUCCUCAUGGCCCACACGGUAUAGUUAGUUGCAGUAAGAGUAGGGCACUUGAUCGAUGAAGAGCCUCUAUCCUUUGGUUUUGCGACUACUAUAUCACCCAUAGCUCUGAUACCAAAUAUUGUUGUAAACCUUUGUAAAGAACACACAGAUUAUAAGAAUGUAUCUCUUCUUAUUAGCUUAAGAAAACUAGCUCAAAAACUUAAGCUCUCACAAUCACAAUAUUCCUCACAAAUCUCAUCUCUCUCUCGACAUCUUUAUAUAUAGAUGUUUACAAUCCUUUUCCUAUAAGUAAUAUCAUAUCUAGAUAUAUCACAAUCUCUUUAUCUUUAUCUCUUUAUAAUCUCAACACAAAUAGGAUUAGGAUUGUCUUUUCUCUCAAUCUUCUUUCAAGCUUAUCCCAACAAACUUGGCACAGAUUCUUUGAUCAAAUUGUAGAUUGUUUCAAUUAUGAGUCAAAACCAAAAGAUUCUAAAUAAUUUCUUGCCUCUCUUGGCGGUAUGAAAAAUGUAAUGCUUGCCUCUCACUGUCUAACCUCAUCGUGUCUUAUAAAAUAUAUGAUCAGCAUAUGACUAAUAUGUUAUAAAUAGUAUACGAAUCAUGAAUAUUUACUUCAAUAUUACCAAACGCGACUGUUUUGUACAAAACUAAGAGGAAAUAAUCUAUAACAACGUUCUUAGACAAAUAGUGUAACCAAAAAGACCAAACAAAGAAGAAAAAUAUCUUCAAUGUUAAGUUAAAAUACUUUACAAAAACAGAGAGAGAGAGAGAGAGAGAGAGAGAGAGAGAGAGAGAGAGAGAGAGAGAGACUCUUACGUUAGGGCUGCGUGAGGGAGAAGAGGCAGUGUCUUCAAGAUCAUGAUGACGACCAAAAGGAAUCUCUCUAUUUCGUGUCCUCUUAGUGUUGAAUUUGUUUGAAGAAUUAGAUGCUUCUUGUUUAGAAACGUGGAUGGUCUUCUUAGUCUCUACGAAAGACAUUGCAUCGGAGACGGAGGAAGAGCUGAACUCCCCGACAUCGACAAUACUUGAAGAAGACUCAAAGAAAUCUUCGAAAUACAUUGUCCAGCUACUUUCUUCUGGAGUUUGGUCGCUUGAAAACGUUGUCGUUUCAUGCUUGCUCGUCAUGAACGCUUUGUUCAUUGAACUCUCCAUGCAGAAUUUGGAUGAGAAAAAUAAGAUCUUUUUAGUUUGUUAUUUGGUAGCGACAGAUGAAACAUGCGUUAGGGUUAGUUAUAUACACAGCAGAAGUUUUGAUAAAUGUAUUUUCUUAAGCAUAAAGCAGUUUAUGAUGAUUAAAUCAAAUAUAUAAAUAUAGUCUUUUUGUCGAAAAUAAAUAAUAUAGAAAAAAGACAAAAAUAGCACUAAAUCAAGUUUAUGUUCUCAAACUAGCACUCAAGGUCAAAAGUCACAAAAAUAGCACUUAAUGUUUUAUCAAAAGUCACAAACUUAGGGUUUAGAGUUAAAGGGUGGGGUUUAGGGUUUAGGGUUUAGAGUUUAGGGUUUAGGGUUUAGAUUUU